rnacentral:lncRNA from 1 species
GGGAGACAAAUGAGUCCUGUGGAACCCUAAUUGUUUGUGCCUGUGUCUGAGUGAAUAAAGCUGAGGCACAUUAGUCACCUGGGGCACUCUGCUGAAGGGAGAUGAGCCCUCUGCUGCCCCACCCCCACCCCCAUUUUAACCUGAUUCUGACUCUUUACUUACAUCCUCAUCGCCCCUUGGUCAGGUUCGAGCUCAGAGACUGGUUCCUACAACGACUGUCUUCAGAUUUCAGUGGUGUUGGCAGAUGGAGCCACGAUCAUAGCCAAUCCUAUCAGCAACCCAUUCAGUGCUGCUCCCGCAGCAACCACGGUGGUGCAGACCCACAGCCAGAGUGCUAGCACCAAUGCUCCCGCCCAGGGCUCAUCCCCCCCGGUCAAGCAUCCUCCAGAAGAAACCUGCCACAGAUGGUGCCAAACCUAAAUCUGAAAUCCACGUGUCUAUGGCCUCUCCGGUCACUGUGUCCAUGGAGACCGUAUCCAAUCAAAAUAAUGAUCAGCCUACCAUUGCUGUCCCUCCCACUGCCCAGCAGCCACCUCCAACCCUUCCAACCAUGAUUGCCGCAGCUAGUCCCCCAUCCCAGCCAGCUGUUGCUCUCUCAACCAUUCCUGGAGCUGUCCCCAUCACUCCACCCAUCACGACUAUUGCAGCUGCACCACUACCAACAGCCACUGUGAGUGGCAGCCUCUCCUCUGUCGUAGGCCCCCCUAUACCUGAGAUCAAAGUGAAAGAGGAAGUAGAGCCAAUGGACAUCAUGAGGCCAGUUUCCGGUAAGUUCAUUCACAGAAUACUCUCCCUUGACAGUUACUUCUUUCCUGCUUCCUAACACUGCACUCUAGAGUUUACCUCUUUUUUAUGUGGCCACAAACCAGGACGUAUGACUGUGGUGC